rnacentral:rRNA from 1 species
ACACCGGCGGCCCGAGUGGUGAUCGUGAUUAUUGGGUCUAAAGGGUCCGUAGCCGGUUUGGUCAGUCCUCCGGGAAAUCUGAUAGCUCAACUAUUAGGCUUUCGGGGGAUACUGCCAGACUUGGAACCGGGAGAGGUAAGAGGUACUACAGGGGUAGGAGUGAAAUCUUGUAAUCCCUGUGGGACCACCUGUGGCGAAGGCGUCUUACCAGAACGGGUUCGACGGUGAGGGACGAAAGCUGGGGGCACGAACCGGAUUAGAUACCCGGGUAGUCCCAGCCGUAAACGAUGCUCGCUAGGUGUCAGGCAUGGCGCGACCGUGUCUGGUGCCGCAGGGAAGCCGUGAAGCGAGCCACCUGGGAAGUACGGCCGCAAGGCUGAAACUUAAAUGAAUUGACGGGG